rnacentral:other from 1 species
AGAUUCCUGCGGGGUGCGUGACGGCUCCACUUAAACCCACAUUAUAACUACGGGACGCUGUACUUCCGCUGCGGAUUGCAGGCCUCCCGCCCGUGCUCAGACAUUGCGGCGGACGUUGGAAGCGGUGAGGCAGCGGAGAGGCGACCCACCUGCCGUUUCGUGCAGGUUAUAAUUGGGGCUGCACGGCCAGUGCAGGUUAUAA